CGGGUGAGUAACGCGUGGGUAACCUACCCUGUACACACAGAUAACAUACCGAAAGGUAUGCUAAUACGGGAUAAUAUAUUUGAGAGGCAUCUCUUGAAUAUCAAAGGUGAGCCAGUACAGGAUGGACCCGCGUCUGAUUAGCUAGUUGGCAAGGUAACGGCUUACCAAGGCGACGAUCAGUAGCCGACCUGAGAGGGUGAUCGGCCACAUUGGAACUGAGACACGGUCCAA
rnacentral:rRNA from 1 species